GAUGAACGCUGGCGGUGUGCCUAAUACAUGCAAGUCGAGCGAACAGACGAGGAGCUUGCUACACUGACGUUAGCGGCGGACGGGUGAGUAACAUGUGGUUGACCUAUCUCUAAGACUGGGAUCACUUCGGGAAACCGGAGCUAAAAACGGAUAAUCUAUUCAACUGCAUGGUUGAAUAGUGUAAUAUGGUUUUGGUGUCACUUAUAGACGGAUCGUCGGCGAGUUAGCUAGUUGGUAAGGUAAGGGUCUACCAAGGGCACGAGGUGGAGCCGACCCGAGAGGGUGAUCGGCCACACUGGAACUGAGACAGGGUCCAGAGGCCUACGGGAGGCAGCAGUAGGGAAUCGUCCGCAAUGGGCGGAAACCUGACGGAGCAGCGCCGCGUGCGUGAUGAAGGUCUUCGGAUCGUAAAACUCUGUUAUUAGGGAAGAACAAAUGUGUAAGUAACUAUGCACGUCUUGACGGUACCUAAUCAGAAAGCCACGGCUAACUACGUG
rnacentral:rRNA from 1 species